AUUACUUCUUGUCUGUUCAAAUAAAAAGAGAGAAAUAGCUCAUUUCAAAAUUGUUUUUACAUUACAAAUCUGAAAUCAUUUUGAUACAUUGUCUUUACUUGAAAAUCAAGAAAAAAUGCGCAAGAUUGUGUUUAUUAUUCUCCUUGUAACAUUGACCACUGAUGCUGUUCAAAGUUGCUAUUGUCCAGUUCCCCCACAUCUUAAUUGCCCACUGAGUGCAAGGGCUAAAAGGAGUCCUGAUAUUGUUCGAUGCCAACAUUGUUCGAAUACAGAAUGUCCACCACUUCCUUCGGGACCUGAUUCAUAGUUGCCUUUUCGGAAUAAAAGAUUGCUGUUUUUGAAUUAUAUGGUGAAAGAAGAUAAUUUG